GGAAGGUUACAGAUCAUAUGGAUAAGCACCUUGCAUAUGCAAUAUGUACACUGGAAACAAAGAGAAGAAGGACCAGCCACCUCUAUUACAAAAGUACAACCCAACGUUGCUAUAUAAACCAUCCACUGAGGAAGAAGUAGCAGAUUUUGAAUAGCAUAAAGUGGCCUCAUUCACCAGUGAACAAAGAGGGAAAAGAAACAAGGAAGAAAGACACUAAGUUAUCAUGACAAUGCUUAUGUACAACAAGGCAUGAAUUGCAGGAAAUAAGCAUGUCUAGAGUGCUGUGACCAGUUACCAGCUUCUACCAAUCAGCAGUGACAAUCAGUUUCCUGGAGGCCUGGCUUGACCACUGAGAGUUUAUUAGUCUGCUGUCUUACCUUUUCACGUGGAUGCCAGCCCAGCAUUUACAGUUUUAGGCCUGCCCUGCACCUACUUUUAUUAUCUCCCUUGGGCAGUGUGUUGAGAUCCACUCCACUGGCUGGAGCUCUCUGCCUCAUCACUUCACUGGUGUGCUCACUGGUCCUCACCAGCCCAGCUGGUGCCAUCUGAUGUCUGCAUGGUCUUAAACACUCUGAAAGCGUGAGGGAACUCAUCCGUGUGUGUUUUCCUCUAGUCUCUAGAGUAACUAGUGAAUUGCUCAAAACUGACAUUUCAUAUGACAGUUAUUCAGCUAAGAUUUCUUAUUAAAUCAGGUGCUUUUCUGAUUAAAAGCCACUAACAUUCCUUGUUUGUUUUCUGGGAUUCAUGGACAUUAGCACAUUUGUGCUAAUAUCUAAACAUUCUUUUAAUCUUCUCUUAGAUUCUGUGGGUUGUUUAAUUAAAUGAUCAAGAAAACUUUUAUUAGAGCAACUCAGAGAAAAUGUUUAGAGAAUUUACACAGCUUGUGAAAUCGGACUCCUGUCAUCAGAUCACCCAAGGGUUUUUGUGAAAUUACCCUCUUUUUUACAGUCCUUCAAAUGGUUAGUCCUAUGAUAGCGACUAAGGCAAAAUAAAGUGUUAUGCUUUAAAAAUUACAUCAAGUUUUGUUUUGUACAAUAUUUUAAUCUCAUCCUGGUGAUCAAUCACAUU